GGGUAGUGGGGGAGGUCUGUGUGAUGGGAUGCUGGGCAGUUGGGGAUCUGUGUAGUUGUGGUGGUGGGCUGUGGGGAAGUGCAUUGGGUAGUAGUGGUGCAGCUGUGUGGGAGCGGGGGUGCUGGGCAGAGGUGGUGGUGUGCAUGCUGCUGUGCAUUUGUGGUGGAGGGGCUGUGUGGGAGGUUGUUGGGCAUAGGGACUCAGGGGCUGUGUGGCACAGCAUGGGUCCAUCCCCGAGGGGAAGGGGCACGCUGGCAGCACAGGGGUUGCAUCUGGCAUCUUCUGGUUUGCAUACAGUGCCCUUGCACUGGGCUGGAUGGAGCAGGGCUGGCCCCAUCAUGCUAAGCCCCAAUGCCCCUGGCUGGCCCCUUGCUCUGGGGACCAACCUCCCCAUGCCCCCAUGGAGGCCCACAAAUAUGUUUGGCACCAGACCCAUAAAAAGUUAAUCCAGCCGUGGUGGGAGGGUCCCAGAACUCGGGCUCCAGCCCAAGCCUGGAAGUCUACACCGCAAUGAAACAACCCCUUGAGCCCGAGUCUACUGGCACAGGCCAACCGUGGGUUUUUCUUUGCUGUGUAGAUGUACCCUCAGAGAUCUCACACUACUGGCUGCUCCUCUUUGCCUGGAAGAGUCUAAUGGGUUAGGUGCCCACUGUGUCCUCCUGCAAUCAAAUUUGUUUGUGAAGCAGGCCCAGCCUACCUCAAAAUCCUGCCCAGCCUCUAGAGAGGGGGUCCUCACAAUCAGAACCUCUGGCCAGUUAUAGAGGGACUAUUGUCAACAUACCACGGAUGACUUGUUCCUCCAUCCCCUCUUUGUGGUGCAGGAGCAGGAGCCAGAAGCUACUGGCAGGCAGUAAGGUUGGAUUAUUUCUUGGACUGGACCCAGGGCUGUAAGGGAACCAGAGGAUUGUUCUACCUAUGCUGUAAAGCACAAUAGACAGGAGCAAAGCUGGAGCCAUGUACAAAGACAGUAUGUCUCCCGGUAGCACCAGGAGGCCCCAAUCAGGGGCCCUGUUGCACUAGGCACUGCAUGCAGAUAUAUCAAAAAGAGAGUCCCUGCUCUAAAGUGCAUAUAGUCACAGAUGGGGGACAGCAAGUUGGAUAUGAUGGAUGGAGAAGAGCAUGGUAACAAUGAGAUGGCUCUGAUCACAGUAAUAAAAGCAGUUGCGUCAGACACCAUGAGAGACAUUUGUGUGAAAAAUGGACCUUUGUUUCUGAAGAGUUCAUUGGUUCCUGCUGUUCUCAUCGAAAACACACAAUCUUUGUUUGACAUCACAGUUGGUUGCUAUGGAAAUGCUGAUGUUACCAAAGAUAGGACUGAGCUAGAGGGCUUUAGAAAGUCCUUGAGACCCAGGAAAGGUCAAUGCCUGGUUUAUUUUAGGCAGUGACACUGGGACCAUCAGAGUGACAGAAUGCCGUGCCCAUUCUGGGUAAUGGCACCGGAACUUCACAGUAUAACAGAAGGCAGUACUGUUUCUGCUUGGGAGCUGGUAUCACCUGGGCAACGAAGGACAGAGCUAGAGGAAGAGGAAAUAAGCAUACAAAGAGAAUUGUGUUUAUUAGGAAUAGUGUUUGUCAGUUUUCGAAGAGAGAUCAUGUAAACUUUAACUAACUACUAAAUCUUACUAAAUGUGGUCUUUUUAACCUA